AUUGAACGCUGGCGGGAGGCCUAACACAUGCAAGUCGAACGGAGUGGCGGACGGGUGAGUAAUAUCUGGGAACGUGCCCGGUAGAGGGGGAUAACUACUCGAAAGGGUAGCUAAUACCGCAUACAAUGAGAGCGGCCGAUAUGGGAUUAGCUAGUUGGUGGGGUAACGGCUCACCAAGGCAACGAUCCGUAGCUGGUCUGAGAGGAUGACCAGCCACACUGGGACUGAGACACGGCCCAGACUCCUACGGGAGGCAGCAGUGGGGAAUUUUGGACAAUGGGGGAAACCCUGAUCCAGCCAUCCCGCGUGUAUGAUGAAGGCCUUCGGGUUGUAAAGUACUUUUGGCAGGGAAGCGGUAUCUGCAGAAUAAGCACCGGCUAACUCCGUGCCAGCAGCCGCGGUAAUAC
rnacentral:rRNA from 1 species